rnacentral:ncRNA from 1 species
UUCUGCAGCGUAGUAUCUAACGGUUUGAUAAACAGGCUAUUAUUCUGCAGGCGCACAUCGCCUUUCGCGGUGGUCAUCUCGCCGUCGAGGGGGAUAUUAAGAUGUAAGCGAGCGCUCACAUCCCCAUCCAGCUGCAGGGAAUCCAGCGCCGCCCCGAGCGACUCUUUCAGCGGCGUAGUAUUAAAGUAAGGUCCAACCUCUUUGCCCGGGCCUUUGAUAUCGGCAUCAAUCAGCAGUUUUUCCUGCGCAUAGUCCGGGAUCGCGGCAUCGAGAUUGCUGGCGGUCACGUUGCCAAGCAUCGCUUUAUCCGCCCGCAUCCACAGGCCGUUGUUGAUAAAAUUGAGGUCGAUGUUCAGCCCGGUUAACGCCGGCCAGUCCGGUUGGAAAGCAAAAGUGGCGUUCUUCAGCGG